AAAAGCAAGAUGACAAGAACGGAGACAAAGUAUAUAGUUUUCAUGGCUGUUUUUCACGUCUUCUUUUUCUUUUUUUCAUCUUCUCUUCUUUUAGCUUCUUCAGGCCAUCUUUUCUUCCACUCUUUUGUGUCCAGAACUAAACCUUGCUCAAUGGCUUUUUGAGAAAUCUCAACAGACAUGCUCUUCACGAUAUAUAAAAUCUCAUUAUCGCUUUUCUGUUUUAGUUUUUGUACAUCUU
rnacentral:ribozyme from 14 species